CCGUCGCCACCACGAUGCCGCCGGGAAACCACCUCAUCACCAGCGUCCUCCUCCUCAUUCUCCUCUCUUUUCAUCCUCCCGCCACCGUUACCGCCGCCGUUACCGCCUCCGACACUCCAAAAUUCCGUGAAGCUCCAGCAUUUCGUAACGGCAAAAAUUGCUCUUCAACUAUUCACAUAGCAAUGACUUUAGAUUACUCCUCCCCUUACCUCCGCGGCUCAAUCGCCGGCGUACUUUCCGUCCUACAACAUGCCACGUGUCCUGAAAACACAUUCUUCCAUUUCCUCGCCGUUCACCGACACUUUAACAACCUUAACAAAACAAUUACCUCAACUUUCCCGUACCUUAAUUUCA
rnacentral:lncRNA from 1 species